rnacentral:lncRNA from 1 species
GUUCUUUUAUUAUGAUGGGCUUUUUAAAUGAUAAUGAUAAUAGUAACAGUAGUAUGGAAAUAAAUAGAGUAUGUGAAGCUGGUAUAUUAUUAUAUUAUAAAAAUAGAUUAAUCAAAACAGGAGAGAGACAUUCCAUUGACUCUGCUUAUAAUCUCGCUUUAUCAAAAUACCCACCAACUCCUUCUUUAUUCGAAGGUAAUUUAUAUAAAUAUGCACUUACUGUUAUUGUUAAUGUACCUAACUGGUUAAAACCAUCCAUAAGUAAACAAGAAUUUAUACAUGAAAAUAAUUAUGCAUUUUUAGUUUUUAAAAAAAAACUAAUUAAUCUUAUUAAAUAUUAUCUUUGUAUAUGUCAAAAUAAUAAUAAAUUAAGAAACUGGAGAGAUAGUAGAGAUAAAAAGUUAAAAAAAUAUAUUGAAAGUACACAACAUAUGGAUAGAAAUAAUAUGGACGAGUCAGAUCAAGAAUAUGAAAAAGCAUAUAAAAUUGUAUAUAAUGAUAAAAGAGAUAAUGAUACAAAGGCAGAAUAUGGAGAAGAAGAAGAAGUUGAGGAUGGGGAUGAUGAGGAUGAGGAUGGAGAAAAUGAAGAUGAACGAGAAGAAGAAGAAGAAGAAGGAGAUGAUUUAGAGUUGGAAGAAGAAAGAGAAGUUGGAGAUGAUGAUGAAAGAGAGGAAGGAAGAAAGGAAAAGCAAGAGGAUGAUAUUUAUGAGGAUGAGUUAGAUGAUGAGGAUGAUGAUGAUGAUGAUGAUGACGAUGAUGAUGAUGAUGAUGAAUAUGUUGUUGGAAGGGGAGGAGGUGGAGGAGGAGGAGGACGUGUUAUGACAAGGGGAGAAGGAGGAAGAACUAGAUCAGUAAAAGCAAAUGAAGCAAAAUUAAAAGAAACAAAUAAAACAAAUAAUAACAGUAGUUUUUCUUCUCGUAGAGGAGGAAAUAGUAGUAAUAAUGUGCAUAAAAAUGUAGCACCAGUAGUGGCGGACGAACAAGUUAUAAGAGAAUCAGGUGUGGAAGAAACAGAAGAAGAAAAUGAAACUGUUGAACAUGGUAAACAUGGUAGAUCUAGUAGACAUAGUAGACAUAGUAAAAAUAGUGAUGGAAUUGAAAAAAAUUGUCAAAUAGGUGUAGAUAAAAAGGAAGGUGUAGAAGAGGUAACAGACGAUGAGGAACAAAAAGAGAAAGAGGAGGAUGAUGUUGAGGAAGAUGACGUGGAAGAAGAAAGCGAUGUUGAUUUUGUGCAAGGUAAAAAACGAAAUAUCGAAAGAAAUAAACACAAAGCACAAGUAGAAAGAGUAGAGGAAGACGUGGGCAAUUCAAAUGAUUCGGACGGUUAUGAUAGCAGUAACAGUACUAAAGUAAAAAAUGGACAAGAAAUAAAAAAUAAAGUAUCAAGGAAAUCAAAAACAAAGCAACAUGAAACACAUGAAAAAGUAGAUGUAAUAUAUGAACAGGUAAUAGAACAACCCGAACUGGAUGACAAUAAUGAUGAUUAUGAUGAUGGUAACGAUGAUGGUGAUGAUGAAGAGUUUAAAAAUGCAAAAGAAGAAGAAGAGAAUGUACAAGAAGAAUAAAAACUGGGAUUAGGAAAGAAAUCGCAUGUGACAAAGAUAUUGUUAUUAACGUAUAGCUAUAGACAUAGAUACACAUUACAAUAGAGAUAUUUAUUAACAUAAAAAAAAUAAGUGAUAUUAUAAAAAUGCGAAAGGAAAAAAAAAAAAAAAAAAAAAAUACUUCGAACAAUUUGUACCUUACGAAAAGGGUUAUAUAUAUAUGUGCGUGUGUAUAUAUGUAUGUUGCUCUAUCCUAGACUCUUUCAUUUUUAUGUUAAAUUAUAAUUUUUACUAAACUAUUUUAUAUUUGAAUAAAAAAAAAAAAAAAAAAAAGAAGAAAUUCUUC